ACAUUGUAUGUAUGCCCUGAUGCAUGUACACACACGGUUCAGCAAAUAUCGAGCUGCAGCGAAACAACCUGGAGCUAGAGAACAUCAAGGAUAAGAUCAAGGAAGUUCUUGCCUUGUUGGCAACAUUGUGAGAUCAUGACCAAGCAUGACAAGAAGGGAGGCUCGUCAACCACCUACCAGCUCACCUAUCAUGACCGAUGAUGAGACGCUGAAGGUUACGAGAGAUG